AAAUCCGAGAAUCUGCAUUAUGCCUGGGUGUUGGCCUCAGUUUACUACUCAUCUUACUGCUUUUAUGUCUCCUGAUCUGUUGUGUCAGACGUCGAAGACAAAGACGGAGAGAAUCUUCUUCUGGAACACAACCAGAUUCAAUAGUUUCCUGGAUACCCCAGCAUCAUUUUUUGAAUGAUGACAGUGAACCACACUGUUUCAGAAAUGUUAAAUCAACUUUACACUCAGAUCCUUGGGAGACUGUCAGGUCAAGCAGUAGCGAUGGUCCAGCGUUUUUCACUGAAGGUAUUCCUGCAUUUUUCUCAUCAAGUAUUCGUGGACUCAAUGGAACAAAGCUAAGUGAUUGGAGUCCUGGUGCUUUACAAGUCAACCUCCGUGACGACAUGGCUGUUUGAUUGGUAAAAUUAAUUUGCCUUAGGGCAUUUGAGCUAACUUCCAUGAUGUUUUGGUUGUUGAACAAGGGAUUUUGGUGCUUUCCAAACCAACCCCCUUAAUGUUGAUUUGGCUCUCCGAUUGGUUCUCAC